rnacentral:rRNA from 1 species
CCUGGUUGAUCUUGCCAGUAGUCAUAUGCUUGUCUCACAGAUUAAGCCAUGCAAGUGAAAGUACAUAUGUAAAUAAUAUAUUGAAACUGCGAACGGCUCAUUAAAACAGUUAUAAUCUACUUGAUGUUUUUAAUAUAAGGAUAACUACGGAAAAUCUGUAGCUAAUACUUGUGAAAAUACCUUUUGAUAUAUACAUAUGUAUGUAUGUAUGUAUCAUUAAGGUAUGUAUUUGUUAGAUAUAAGAAUAAAAUAAAUAUAAUUGAAUUAUAACAAAGAAGAAACACAUAAAAUAUGUGUAUUAUCAAUCGAGUAUCUGACCUAUCAGCUUUUGAUGUUAGGGUAUUGACCUAACAUGGCUAUGACGGGUAACGGGGAAUUAGAGUUCGAUUCCGGAGAGGGAGCCUGAGAAAUAGCUACCACAUCUAAGGAAGGCAGCAGGCGCGUAAAUUACCCAAUUCUAAAAAAGAGAGGUAGUGACAAGAAAUAACAAUACAAUAUCGAAAAAUGAUUUUGUAAUUGGAAUGAUAGGAAUUUACAAGGUUCCUAGAGAAACAAUUGGAGGGCAAGUCUGGUGCCAGCAGCCGCGGUAAUUCCAGCUCCAAUAGCAUAUAUUAAAAUUGUUGCAGUUAAAACGUUCGUAGUUGAAUAUUAAAGAAUCCGAUGUUUCAUUUAAACUGGUUUGGGAAAACCAAAUAUAUUAUAUAUUUUGCUUUGUUCAAAAUAAGGUUUUCUAAUAAAUUAUGUUUUUAUCAGAUAUGACAGAAUCUUUUUUAAAAUCUCUUCAAUAUGCUUUUAUUGCUUUUGAGAGGUUUUGUUACUUUGAGUAAAAUUAAGUGUUCAUAACAGACGGGUAGUCAUGAUUGAGUUCAUUGUGUUUGAAUACUACAGCAUGGAAUAACAAAUAUGAAUAAGCUAAUUAUUUUUUUUUUUCAUAAUUUUUUUUGAUAUUCUUAUUAGCUUAGUUACGAUUAAUAGGAGUAGCUUUGGGGGCAUUCGUAUUCAGAUGUCAGAGGUGAAAUUCUAAGAUUUUCUGGAGACGGACUACUGCGAAAGCAUUUGCCUAAUCUAUUUCCAUUAAUCAAGAACGAAAGUUAAGGGAGUGAAGACGAUCAGAUACCGUCGUAAUCUUAACCAUAAACUAUACCGACUAGGUGUUGGAUGAAUAUAAAAAAUAUAUAAAUAUGUAGCAUUUCUUAGGGAAUGUUGAUUUUAUAUUAGAAUUGCUUCCUUCAGUACCUUAUGAGAAAUCAAAGUCUUUGGGUUCUGGGGCGAGUAUUCGCGCAAGCGAGAAAGUUAAAAGAAUUGACGGAAGGGCACCACCAGGCGUGGAGCUUGCGGCUUAAUUUGACUCAACACGGGAAAACUCACUAGUUUAAGACAAGAGUAGGAUUGACAGAUUAAUAGCUCUUUCUUGAUUUCUUGGAUGGUGAUGCAUGGCCGUUUUUAGUUCGUGAAUAUGAUUUGUCUGGUUAAUUCCGAUAACGAACGAGAUCUUAACCUGCUAAUUAGCGGUAAGUACACUAUAUUUUUAUUUGAAAUUGAAUAUAGGUAAUUAUACAUGUUUAUUCAGUGUUCAAAUUAGGAUAUUUUUUUAUUAAAAUAUUGAAUACUAGGUAACUAUACAUUUAUUCAGUGUUCAAAUUAGGAUAUUUUUUUAUUAAAAUAUUCUUUUCCCUGUUCUACUAAUAAUUUGUUUUUUUUUACUCUAUUUCUCUCUUCUUUUAAGAAUGUACUUGCUUGAUUAAAUAAAGCUUCUUAGAGGAACAGUGUGUAUCUAACACAAGGAAGUUUAAGGCAACAACAGGUCUGUGAUGUCCUUAGAUAAACUAGGCUGCACGCGUGCUACAAUGAUAUAUAUAACAAGUUGUUAAAAAUGUACUUAUAAAUAAGUGUGUACAAUUUUUCCUGUACUGAAAAGUAUAGGUAAUCUUUAUCAGUAUAUAUCGUAAUUGGGAUAGAUUAUUGCAAUUAUUAAUCUUGAACGAGGAAUGCCUAGUAAGCAUGAUUCAUUAGAUUGUGCUGACUACGUCCCUGCCCUUUGUACACACCGCCCGUCGCUCCUACCGAUUGAAAGAUAUGAUGAAUUGUUUGGAUAUGAAUUAAAAUAAUGAAAUUUUAUAUUUCUGAUUUUUUCUAGAAGAACUGUAAAUCCUAUCUUUUAAAGGAAGGAGAAGUCGUAACAAGGUUUCCGUAGGUGAACCUGCGGAAG